AAUAAAUUUUUUAUGGUUUAUAAAUUUAUUAUAAAUUUAUUUUGCAUAUAAAUUUUAGUGUUAAUUUUUUAUUAUUUUAAUAAUUUUUGAAAUUUUAAUUAUAGCAAUUAAUAUUAAAAAUUUAAGAAAUUAAGAUUUAGUAAUAUUUAAAUUAAUAACAAAUUUUGUGCCAGCAGUUGCGGUUAUACAAAAAUUAAAUUAAAUUUUAUUAGUAAUUAAUUUAUAAAAAAUUUUUUUUAAUUAAAUAUUAAAUUUAAUAGGUGAAAUUUUUAUUUAAUUUAAUUUAAUUUGAUUUUAUAAUUUAAUAAAUUUAUUUAUAAACUAGGAUUAGAUACCCUAUUAUUAAAAAUUUAAAUUUAAAAUACUAAAAUAGUAUUUAAUUAUUUAUUGAAACUUAAAUAAUUUGGCGGUAUUUUAGUUCAUUUAGAGGAAUCUGUUUAUUAAUUGAUAAUCCACGAAUAAAUUUACUUAAUUUAAAAUUUUGUAUAUCGUUGUUAAAAAAAUAUUUUUAAAUAAAAAUAAUAUUUUAAUUUUAUAAUAAAAAGUUAAAUCAGAUCAAGAUGCAGAUUAUAAUUAAGAAUAUAAUGGAUUACAAUAAAUUUAUUUAGGUGAAUUUUUUUUUUGUAAUAAUAAUUUGAAAUUGGAUUUAAAUGUAAUUUUAUUUAUUUUAAUAAAAUGAUUAUAUAUUAAAAUAUGUACAUAUUGCCCGUCGCUUUCAUUAAUAAAUUGAAAUAAGUCGUAACAAAGUAGAGGUACUGGAAAGUGUUUCUAGAAAUAA
rnacentral:ncRNA from 1 species